AAAAAUUUUGGAUUUUUUGCAAAAUCCAAAUCCUCCCAAACACUCAAUACAUUUGUAAUAAUUUCCAGAAUGAUCUACGUCUUCCCCCACCCCCACCCCAGUACAUAUUCCCCUUUCUGACACUAACAAACUAACAAGCAUAUUACUAAACUGACCC